AGAUCUGUGAGCUUAAAGGUUCCAUCUCUCCCGCAAAUAGUGGAGCAUCUUAUUGAUUGUUUGAAUUUUUUGAUUUCGUUUGCUUUAGAACAUAGGCUUGGUUAGUUUUAUGUAACCUUUUGUUUAUUUUCGUUGUUGGUUUGAUUGAAUAAGUUGCCAAAUGAUGAUUGAAAAUUUUGCGCAAGGGUUUUGAGUUUCGGAUGAUUGGAGUUUACUCUGGUCUGAAGGAACCGUGACAAAAUUAUUUUCUAAUAAUUCAUUCUGAUGGCAGCUCAAUCAUUGUUAGAUAUAUCAAAUUUCAAUUCGAGUUUUGGGUGCAUGGUUUGAUUCGGAUGGUUAAUUGUAGUUUGUUUUGUUAGUAGAAGCUUGGUUUUGGGGCAGCUUAAUGAAUUUUAGGAUUCAAGUUUUCAAAUCAUUUAGCCUAUAAUGUUCUGAAAUGUGUUGUGUAAUGGCUUUGAUUUCCUGAGGAUCUGACUAUAGAAUGUUUAAAAUCCUGAGGAACGGUGGGAAAUCAUGUAUUUGUGUUUCUUUUUUUUUUUAAGAUUCAGGUUCUACAAAUUAUGCUUAAAGGGCUUUGAGCUCCUGACCGCUUGUAUUAUGAGAUCCAAGAAAAUGUGAAAAGUCGUUUUUUUUUCCUUUCCCAUUUUGAUGGUUUGGGUUGCAUUUUACUGUUCUUUUAGUUAUCAUGACUAUGCUAGAUUCUGGUCUGGACAUAAGUUGCUUAAGAUGUGUGGAAAUUAUGCGUAAUGGAUUUAGAAUUGGCAAUUUGUUAUUUGAAGGAAUUCACUUCUAUAGAUAUCCUUUAAUGGCACCCGUUCAUGGUCAGCUCCAAAUAUGCAAGAAAUCGGAAAAUGCAUUAGUGUAGUCCUCUUUUCUGGUAUAUUGUCAAUACUCAAAUCUUACAUAAACUUUGUUUCAAGGACAAUGAAGCAUGUGGUCAAGAUUUUGAGCCUGCUGGUAGCUGUCUCUGCCUUUUAGUUUGCUCUCUUGCAGGCUGCAAUUAUGGCUCGUAGCCAAACAUAGUUGGUUAGUAAUGAGUCUGUUGUGCUCAUUUUUGCUUAUUGCUAUUCUCAGUUAGUCAAUAUUAAUAAUGUAUAUCUUUGCACCAGCUACCUAUAUACGUUGUAGUGUCCUUUGCUAUUAAUUGUUGGAAUCGGUUUAGUGCAGUUCCCUACCUCUCCUAAAGAAGCAGUUUUUCUGCAGCGGGUACUUUCAGUACUCUUUUCUUUCUUUGUUAACUCGAAUUGUUAAUUAAGGUUAAAUUAAGUUCUUGACUAGUGCUUUUGCUCCUAGCUGUUGUUAAUGUUGAUUAUGUACUAGUUUGUUUUGGUGCUAUUGUUAUAUUGCAGGAUAUUGCAGAUGCAAAAAGACUUCUUAAGCGCUAACGGAAUUGAUGUUGGAUCGGAUUUGACACAUUAUGGUUUACUUCUUUUCAACUCCCUAACCAGUGUAAUAGAAUACUUGGAGUCUUCGAUGGUUCAUAGAAAGAGUUCCCAUUUUCAUUAUGUACAGUCGUUUACUAUGUUUUUUUGAGAGAUGUACAUUGAGAAACCGGUGUUUGCAAUUGGAUUUUGUUUU